rnacentral:misc_RNA from 1 species
AAGUCGUAACAAGGUUUCCGUAGGUGAACCUGCGGAAGGAUCAUUAAAGAACGCCCCGUUUUUUGAAAUGGGUAAUUCCCAAACCGUGUCUAUAUAUACCUUUGUUGCUUUGGCAGGUCGCCUUCUAGGCGUCGGCUCCGGCUGACUGCGCCUGCCAGAGGACCCAAACUCGUUUUGUUUAGUGUCGUCUGAGUACUAUAUAAUAGUUAAAACUUUCAACAACGGAUCUCUUGGUUCUG